CUAGUUGAGUAAUAUCGUCUCAACUUCACCAGGUAUUUUAUGUAAUCCUUCGGUUUUAGUAAUUACUAUUACCCUUCUACGUUAUUAACAAGGCCCAGCAGAACAGGCUGAGCCCCAAUGCUCCCUCAAGCUAAUGGUGACUGAAGGAGUGGGGGGAUGGGCGAGGGUACGGUGGGGACAGUCAAUGUCAGGUUUUGUGUUAAGAACCUUAAGUUUCGUUUCUUUACACAAAACCGAACUGUUACCAUCCACGUGGGGUCCUCGGUCUGGCCACGCCCCCACCAAGCACCUGCUACCGUCCAUUUCCCUCAGACUGCCGAGCAGCAGACAACGUGACGGUGCUGGCUGCAGAAGCUGGAUAGAAAUGGUGAGUUUUUAAUUAUUGGACUAGCUUCUAAUGUAAAACAGUGCUUUUUACGUUUACUUUGAUACUAUUAAUAUAUGUACUGCCAUAUAAAAUGAGCUGUUGCAAUGUGCUAAACUCAACUUAGAUGGGAAGCUAAUGUUAGCUAACAAUAAGCAAGCAUGUGCAACUAGCACCACAAAUAGUGCUGUUAAGUUUACUUUGAUACUAUUUUCAUAUAUACUGCCAUAUAAAAUGAGCUGUUGCAAUGUGUUAAACUCAACUUAAAUGGACAGCUAAUGUUAGCUAACAAUAAGCAAGCAUGUGCAAGCAGCAGCAUGUGCACGCGUUGUGAAAUAGAAUGCUGGACAGCUAAUUAGUUAUUUAUUAUAUACUUUAUAAAUAUAUUCAUGUUUUAUCAAUAUCUUUUCACACAUAAUGUGAAUAUUAUGCUCAACAAAGGGAGUGUAAUACUUAAUCUGCGUUAAGACCUGGAUUAUAACUAAUUUCCCUUUAACCAUUUUAAGUAUCCUUACGGUGGCUUUUGGGCCUAUAACACUUAAUAAGCAGUUUUCCAUUUGCCCAAAGAGUGAUUGUAAUAUCUACCCAUGUAUAAAUAGGCAUUUUAAUUCAGAUUGUCAUAGGUAUUGAGAUAGAUAAUAUAAUGUUUGUCGUUAAGAACAGAAGUAGAUGUUGUUACUAUAAUGCAUUCCAUAACAGAUAAACUUAAUUCAUUUCAUUAAAAAAAAAAAAAAAGAGUACUGUAAUGAGUUGGAUGUAUAGCUUUGGCUGAAUGUGUCCCUUGUGCUUUUAGGAGGAUGGAGCAUGUUUGCCAUCCAGUAGUGACAGCUCGAAGUGCACAGAUGCUGAUGUCGGAGAAAUGAAGGAGCCUUUGACCGUGAACAUACUAACCAGGUAGUUCCGAUGAAAAGAUGCUGCUGGCUGGAGAGGUCUGGUGAAUCUCACACAAAAAAGGGUCACCACAAACAAAGAAGAAGUGGACCAAAGAGGAAAUCGAAGCUGUUGAAAGGACCUUAAUGGACUACAUCAAUGGUGGUCAGUGGUCAGAAAUGCAUCACAACAUCGUCACUGGCCGAUCAAGGGAUGAGUUGUCAAAAUAUAUAUUAAAAACUGAAUUUAAAAGAAUUAAAAAAAAGGUAAGCCGCAUUUUCAUCAGAUGGAAGAUUAAAUUCCUGGUGGACUGCCAGCACGUUUACAGACAUUGUUUACAGUAGUCUUAUUGCUCCCUGUUCUGUAAUUGUUAACUUUAUAUAAUAUUUGAAAGUUGAUGAUGAUGCUUUAAACUGCAUAGUUUAAAAAAAAUAAAGAUGCAAUAUAUCAAACAAUAUUAUAGAGUGGGGUUUAAUAUACAUAGAUAAUGAGUCAUUAUACAAUGAUAAUGAGUCAUUAUACAAUUAUAACAUUCAAUGGUGUAUAUAUUCAGCAUGAAUUGACAAAAUAUGUAUUAAGUGCCUUAGAGUUUCUAAAAAGUACCCUUUAUUGAGUACCUUACCUUGUUUGAGACACAUUUUGAACACUGCCCCCUGGUGUGAUUUUGUAUUAUGACAUAAUUGGACGGUCCCCACCGGAAUAGAGAAACCAGAAAAAUAUUCAACUCUAUA